UGGCGGCGUGCUUCAUACAUGCAAGUCGAACGAGAAGCUGACUUCGGUCAGUGGAAAGUGGCGGACGGGUGAGUAAUAUGUAGGAAAUCUGCCCUAGAGAGGGGGACAACAGAGGGAAACUUCUGCUAAUACCCCAUAUGAGCUUAGUUGAAAUACUAAUCUUGAAAACUCCGGUGCUCUAGGAUGAGCCUGCAUCUGAUUAGCUUGUUGGCGGUGUAAUGGACCACCAAGGCGACGAUCAGUAGCUGGUUUGAGAGGAUGAUCAGCCACAAUGGGACUGAGACACGGCCCAUACUCCUACGGGAGGCAGCAGUAGGGUAAUUUUGCGCAAUGGGCGAAAAACGCCUGACGCAGCAACGCCGCGUGAACGAUUAACGCCCGUUCGGGGUGUAAAGUUCUGUCAGUGGGGACGAAACUUGACGGUACCCACAGAGGAAGCACCGGCUAACUCCGUGCCAGCCGCGGC
rnacentral:rRNA from 1 species